rnacentral:rRNA from 1 species
AACGAACGCUGGCGGCGUGGAUUAGGCAUGCAAGUCGAACGCGAAAGAGGGGGAAACCCCUUUAGUAGAGUGGCGAACGGGUGAGUAACGCGUGAAGAACCUGCCUUCAACAGGGGGAUAACACUCCCAACGGGGUGCUAAUACCGCAUGAGACCACGGAGCUGCAUGGCUCUGAGGUCAAAGGUGGCCUCUAUUUAUAAGCUACCGGUUGAAGAUGGCUUCGCGUCCCAUUAGCAGUUGGCGGUGUAAAAGACCACCAAGGCGACGAUGGGUAGCUGGUCUGAGAGGAUGGUCAGCCACACUGGGACUGAGAUACGGCCCAGACUCCUACGGGAGGCAGCAGUCGAGAGGCUCCGGCAAUGGGGAAACCCUGACCGAGCGACGCCGCGUGGAGGAUGAAGGCCCUUGGGUUGUAAACUCCUUUUGUCAGCGAAGAAAUGCGAUCAGGUUAAUAAUCUGGUCGUUUGACGGUACCUGACGAAUAAGCUCCGGCUAACUCCGUGCCAGCA